rnacentral:rRNA from 1 species
CAGCAGCAGCCGCGGGAAUACGGAGGGGGCUAGCGUUGUUCGGAAUUACUGGGCGUAAAGCGCACGUAGGCGGCUUUGUAAGUUAGAGGUGAAAGCCCGGAGCUCAACUCCGGAAUUGCCUUUAAGACUGCAGAGCUAGCAGGUGAGAGAGGUGAGUGGAAUUCCGAGUGUAGAGGUGAAAUUCGUAGAUAUUCGGAAGAACACCAGUGGCGAAGGCGGCUCACUGGCUCAUACUGGACGCUGAGGUGCGAAAGCGUGGGGAGCAAACAGGAUUAGAUACCCCCGUAGUCCCUGUCUCUUAUAC